rnacentral:ribozyme from 1 species
AAAAAAAAAAAAAAAUCCAACCAAAAAAAAGUAUCUUUGCUUUCAUUUGAUUUUUUUUUUUCAUUUAUUUAUGUAUUUAUUUUUUUUGUUUUUUGUUUUGAUCAUCGUAAUAAUAGUAACAACAAAGCCGUUCCCGUUGCUGAGCGUAUUAAAAAAAUCACCAGAACACCCUUCUUUGUUCUUUUG